CAGCAGCCGCGGGAAUACAGAGGGUGCGAGCGUUAAUCGGAUUUACUGGGCGUAAAGCGUGCGUAGGCGGCUAAUUGAGUCGGAUGUGAAAUCCCCGAGCUUAACUUGGGAAUUGCAUUCGAUACUGGUUAGCUAGAGUGUGGGAGAGGAUGGUAGAAUUCCAGGUGUAGCGGUGAAAUGCGUAGAGAUCUGGAGGAAUACCGAUGGCGAAGGCAGCCAUCUGGCCUAACACUGACGCUGAGGUACGAAAGCAUGGGGAGCAAACAGGAUUAGAGACCCGUGUAGUCCCUGUCUCUUAUAC
rnacentral:rRNA from 1 species